CAAAGACUGCAUUGUAAGUCGCUCUGGAUAAGAGCGUCUGCUAAAUGACUUAAA
rfam:Salmo salar isolate Sally breed double haploid chromosome ssa13, whole genome shotgun sequence.